rnacentral:rRNA from 1 species
AGCGCAGGCGGUCUUUUAAGUCUAAUGUGAAAGCCUUCGGCUCAACCGAAGAAGUGCAUUGGAAACUGGGAGACUUGAGUGCAGAAGAGGACAGUGGAACUCCAUGUGUAGCGGUGGAAUGCGUAGAUAUAUGGAAGAACACCAGUGGCGAAGGCGGCUCUCUGGUCUGCAACUGACGCUGAGGCUCGAAAGCAUGGGUAGCGAACA